rnacentral:rRNA from 1 species
AACCGGAGGAAGGUGGGAUGACGUCAAGUCCUCAUGGCCUUUAUGCCAGGGCUACACACGUGCUACAAUGGGUGGUACAAAGAGCAGCUAACUCGCGAGAGUAUGCAAAUCUCAAAAAAGCCAUCCUCAGUUCGGAUUGGAGUCUGCAACUCGACUCCAUGAAGUUGGAAUCGCUAGUAAUCGCGGAUCAGCAUACCGCGGUGAAUACGUUCCCGGGCCUU